rnacentral:lncRNA from 1 species
ACUCGCAGUUCAAGGCCUCAUUGCCAUCGACUCCACUGUCUGUGGUGAGAGGUGGAUGAGGAAACAGGCACCAGUGCAGCUGAUUUGACCUCCAGUGGGAUAGAUACGAUUAGCACCAGGAUCGUGUCUCAUUUUGAACCCAGACAGAUCUUUAUGGGCAGAAACACAGAAAUGGAAGUAGCAGAUUUUAAGAAAACUGAUUCAGACUUUGAACUUAUCUGAACAGAAUUAAGACGAACGAGCUUUCACAAUUGCAGCAGAUGAAGAUCCAUUGGUAAAUUGAUCAGGAUUUUUGGCCUACCCUCCAAAGAAAAGGUGCCAGAGAAGAGAGAAACAGGCUUUCCUGUGUGGUGUCCAAUCACUGACAAUGGAGGGGUAUGGGGAGAAGUUAAGAGGAAACAUGUUUGGCAGAAUGCCAGAGGAGCUCUUUAGUGCCUGUUUAUGGAGUUUCUACUGUGUGCAUGGGGAUUGUCCCUGGGAGGAAAAGGAGAAGAAUAGGAGGUGAUUUACAUGGACUGCAGUGAUGACCUAAUGCUUUUUUGAAUAUUAUACCAAUGAAAAGAUUAAUAUGAUGCCAGGAAGUAAGUGACCAAGAAGCAGAGAAAGAAGAGGAGGCACAAGUUCAAAAGUCUGUAGAGGCCAGAGAGACCAGAGAGGGGAAUAAAGUGAGCCAGGUGGAACUGUGAGAAACCAUCCGGUCCAUGAUCCAUCUAAUGUGGCAAUCCCUUCUCAGCAGCAGAUUGUAGGCCCGAUAUCUGUUCAUUCAACAAACAUUUAUUGGGUGCCAACCUAUGUGCUAUGUUCUCUUAUGGUCACUGGGGAUAAAUUAGUAAAUCGAAAGGACAAAUAUCCCUGCCAUUGAAUUGGCACUUACCUUUUUUUCUUAAUUAACAAGUAAAAAUUGGAUAUGUUUAUCAUGUACAAUGUAUUCUUUUAAAAUAUGUAUUCAUUGUGGAAUGGCUUAAAUUAACUAAUUUAAUAGCUAAUUAACGUAGGCAUUACUUCUCAUACUUAUGUUUUGGUUGUGAGAACCUUUAUCUAGUCUCUUUGCAAUUUGCAAGAAUACAAUACAUUGUUAUUAACUAUAGUAAGCAUGUUUUGCAGCUGAGUUCUUGAACUCAUUCUUCCUAACUGAAAUUUUGUACCUUUUGACUAACUUUCCCUAAACCCCUCACCUCUAUCCUCUGGUAACCACCAUUCUAUUCUCUACUUCUAUGAAUUCAACUUUUUAAGAUUCCACAUAUAAGUGAGAUUGUGUGCUGUUUGUCUUUCUGGGCCUGGCUGAUUUCACUUAACAUAAUAUCCUCCAGGUUCAUCUAUGUUGCUGCAAAUGACAGGAGUUCUCUUUAAAAAAAAACAAAAAUAGAGAUAGGGGUCUCGCUAUGUGUCCUAGGCUAGUCUGGAACUCCUGAACCCUGGCCUCAAGUGUUUCUCCCACCUUGGCCUUCCCUCCAGAGUGCUUGGAUUACAGUUGUGAGCUACCAUAUCUGGCUGGAUUGCCUUCUUUUUAAAGAUUGAAUAGUAUUCCAUUGUGUGUGUGUAUAACACAGUGGAAUAUUAUUUAGCCAUAAAAAAGAAGGAAGUAUUGAUAACAUGUUCCAACAUGGAUAAACCUUGAAAAUGUUUUAUUAAAUGAAGGAAACCAAACACAAAGACCACAUAUUAUGUGGUUUCAUUUAAUAUUCAGAAUAGGCAAAUCCAUAGAGACAGAAAGCAGAUGUGGUUUUCGGGGGUUGGGGAGGGAAUGUGGGCAGUGAUUGCUUGAUGAAUACAGGGUUUCCUUUUGGAGUGAUGAAAAUGUUCUGGAACUAGAUAGUAAUGUUGGUUGUACUACACUGUGAAUGUACUAAAUGUCAUCAAAUUGCACACUUAAAAUGGUUAAAGGCCAGUUGCAGUGGCUCAUACCUGUAAAUCCAGCACUUAGGGAGGGCGAAGCAGAAAGACUACUUGAGUCCAGGA